rnacentral:rRNA from 1 species
GGACUACUGGGGUUUCUAAUCCUGUUUGCUCCCCACGCUUUCGCGUCUCAGCGUCAGUUGUCGUCCAGAUAGCCGCCUUCGCCACUGGUGUUCUACCCGAUAUCUACGAAUUUCACCUCUACACCGGGUGUUCCGCUAUCCUCUCCGACACUCAAGUCUGCCAGUUUCGGGCGCACUUCCUCAGUUAAGCUGAGGGCUUUCACACCCGACAUAACAGACCGCCUACACGCGCUUUACGCCCAAUAAUUCCGAACAACGCUUGCACCCUCUGUAUUACCGCGGCUGCUGGCAC